GACGAACGCUGGCGGCGUGCUUAACACAUGCAAGUCGAACGGAAAGGCCCUGCUUUUGUGGGGUGCUCGAGUGGCGAACGGGUGAGCAACACGUGAGUAACCUGCCCUUGACUUUGGGAUAACUUCAGGAAACUGGGGCUAAUACCGGAUAGGAGCUCCUGCUGCAUGGUGGGGGUUGGAAAGUUUCGGCGGUUGGGGAUGGACUCGCGGCUUAUCAGCUUGUUGGUGGGGUAGUGGCUUACCAAGGCUUUGACGGGUAGCCGGCCUGAGAGGGUGACCGGCCACAUUGGGACUGAGAUACGGCCCAGACUCCUACGGGAGGCAGCAGUGGGGAAUAUUGCACAAUGGGCGGAAGCCUGAUGCAGCAACGCCGCGUGCGGGAUGACGGCCUUCGGGUUGUAAACCGCUUUCGCCUGCGACGAAGCGUGAGUGACGGUAAUGGGUAAAGAAGCACCGGCUAACUACGUG
rnacentral:rRNA from 1 species